UACGGGAGGCAGCAGUGGGGAAUAUUGCACAAUGGGCGCAAGCCUGAUGCAGCCAUGCCGCGUGUAUGAAGAAGGCCUUCGGGUUGUAAAGUACUUUCAGUCGUGAGGAAGGUGUUAAGGUUAAUAACCUUAGCAAUUGACGUUAGCGACAGAAGAAGCACCGGCUAACUCCGUGCCAGCAGCCGCGGUAAUACGGAGGGUGCGAGCGUUAAUUGGAAUUACUGGGCGUAAAGGGCACGCAGGCGGUUAAUUAAGUUGGAUGUGAAAUCCCCGGGCUUAACCUGGGAAUGGCAUUCAAGACUGGUUAGCUAGAGUCUUGUAGAGGGGGUAGAAUUCCAUGUGUAGCGGUGAAAUGCGUAGAGAUGUGGAGGAAUACCGGUGGCGAAGGCGGCCCCUGGACAAAGACUGACGCUCAUGUGCGAAAGCGUGGGGAGCAAACAGGGAUUAGAUACC
rnacentral:rRNA from 1 species